AACGAACGUUGGCGGCGUGGUUUAGGCAUGCAAGUCGUACGAGUUUCAUCUGGGUCACUGGAUGAAAAAAGUGGCGAAGGGGGCAGUAAGGCAUGGAUAAUCUACCCUGAUGACCGGGAUAGCUGUCCCAACGGGCAGGUAAUACCGGAUGAGCUGGUGGGGCCGCAUGGUUCUGCUAGGAAAUGUGCAAGCCGUGUCGGGAGGAAUCCAUGUGUUAUUAGGUAGUUGGUGUGGUAAAGGCUCACCAAGGCGAAGAGGUCUAGCGGGGGUGAGAGCACGACACGCGCCAUUGGAACUGAGAUACUGGCCAGACUCCUACGGGAGGCUGAGGAGGAGGAUCUACGGCAAUGGGCGAGAGCCUAGCCGAGAGAAGCCGCGUGGGCGAUAAAGAGCAUGAGGUUGUAUAGCUCUGUCGAGGGGGAACAAGACGCAAAGUGGAGUGAUCCGUGGAAGAAGCACGGGCUAAGUUCGUG
rnacentral:rRNA from 1 species